rnacentral:lncRNA from 1 species
CGAGAACCCCUAUGAAUUCCCAUGGAUACUAGUAGGCUGAUAAAAGAGAAAAUUUGUUGUUUGAUGGUUGAAAUACAAAAGUAUGAUAUGUGUUAUGUUACAGAGUGUGCAUGAUCUUAUGAUGUUUAUAAUGUUAUUGUUUUAAUAAGUUAUUUUCAUGAAUCUCACCAAGGUAAGUGGACGGUAAAGAGUUUUAUUAUUGAUAAAUGAAUUUGUUAUAAAUUAUGCUCCAUUGGUCGUUUUU